rnacentral:rRNA from 1 species
CCUACGGUGUGCUGCAGUGGGGAAUAUUGGACAAUGGGCGAAAGCCUGAUCCAGCCAUGCCGCGUGUGUGAAGAAGGCCUUCGGGUUGUAAAGCACUUUCAGUGGGGAAGAAAGCCUUGGGGCUAAUACCCUCGAGGAAGGACAUCACCCACAGAAGAAGCACCGGCUAACUCCGUGCCAGCAGCCGCGGUAAUACGGAGGGUGCAAGCGUUAAUCGGAAUUACUGGGCGUAAAGCGCGCGUAGGCGGUCUGAUAAGCCGGUUGUGAAAGCCCCGGGCUCAACCUGGGAACGGCAUCCGGAACUGUCAGGCUAGAGUGCAGGAGAGGAAGGUAGAAUUCCCGGUGUAGCGGUGAAAUGCGUAGAGAUCGGGAGGAAUACCAGUGGCGAAGGCGGCCUUCUGGACUGACACUGACGCUGAGGUGCGAAAGCGUGGGUAGCAAACAGGAUUAGAUACCCGAGUAGUC